GGACCCGGGUACGUCCUUAAACUACGUCCAAAAGAGAGGUAUGGGCAUUGUGAAUUUCAUCUCGCUUUGUGUGGUAGGGCACAGCCAUUGGAUGUCAUUCCAUAUCUAGAGCAGAGCCCAACUGGGGAAGUACAUCCACCUUACAGAAAACCGCAGCCAAAUAACACUAGACCCUACUCAUAGUGUUGUGUUCCUGCAGGUGAGUAAGUUUGCCAGAGCUCAACGAGGGUGGGAGGGGGUUAGGGUCGGCAACGCGCAUGUAACUCCUCUGGAGUUGCAGGCGUACUUAGGCUACGGAUACUGCUUACCAUCAGGCAGGCCGUAUGCUUGUUUGCCACCGACGUAGUAUUAAAAAAAAAACUAAUACAAACCUAUUUUCGGGUUGUACUCUUUAGAUCAUGAAAUUCAUAAAGAUAAACAACUUAUACCUUCAUUGUCAGUCCGAUCAAAAGUAACUUUCCAUCGGAACUGGGAAGAACCGCAGUAUCACCAGAUCAUGUUGCCACAUGCAAAAACUAUAUCGCUGUGCCGGGUAAGUACCUAUACGUCUAAAUAUAAGUACUAUAUAUUAGUAUAUUCUUGUAAUCUGUGAAGGUAUAUAAACAAUUUCCUGAGGCAUGAAGAAUCAGUUCUACCGAGUAAUCAACUCUGUUCAGUACGAGAUAAAAUAAACAAAAUGCCACCCACACCUGGCCAAACUUCUGGAAAGCCGCCAACUGUAACUGGUGUUGCUGGACUCGCUGCUGGUAGUGCUGUGGCCGGAGUUAUUGGAUCUCUUGUCGGGUUGGCUUCGGGCCAGGGUGGAAAAAAUAAGUAGUUAUUUACUUCUCUCGCUCUUGCAGCAUUAUGAUGAUUGUAUGAAAUAAAAAAUAGGAAUAAAUAUGUUGUUUUUUUUAUAAGUACAAAAAUACUUAAAUCUUUCUUGGUCUCGCUUCACACACCUUACAAAUCAGUCGUCCUAGCUGGCUGCCUAACUAGGAUCCAAAAAAAUCCUAUUUAGUGCAGUCAGACUCUUCCUAUAUAAAGGCGGUUACACUUACGAUUUACGAUUACUUAGGAUUCUGAAUUAAGUAACAUGUGUGAAGCGCUUUACAAAUAUUUAUUAAUGUGUAAGUUUAAAUGUGUGUUAGUUGAAUUAUACACAGAUUUUAAAACAAAAGUUGUCAUUCAUGUGAGCAUAAAGUGUGUCUAAAGGCCCAUCCAGAGGGAAUGAUCAAAUUGACCAAGUUUAUCUGAAAAUAAAUUGGCGUCAAUUUCAUCUAGCGUCCACAUGUACACAAUUUAAUCACCAAUCUUAGAUCAAAAUAAAACAAAUGCUCUCAAACGCGCAAACUAGUGUCAAAAAUUGGCAUUCUUUCGUCCGUACCUCUGUUUGAUCAGUCGUAAUCUUACAAUCGAAUGUGAGCCAAUUUCAUUUUUGCGUUCACACCACCUGAUUUCAGCUGACAAUUUUAUCAGAUCAGGGAAAAAAUAGUUACGUCUGGACUGACCUUAAGCUAACUUUGCACCGACAUAACAAAGUAAGGAGUGUCAUUAUUUAACGAAAUAUUUUCAUAGAAAUUUGACAUUAAUGAUGGCAAUGCAAUCAUUACACAUGGUAUGCAGAAUUCGAUUAGACUUGCGUGUCUAUAGGCACAAUGGUGGUCGACUUGCGGAAAAUGCUCAGAAGCACUAACUAGAUUGUCCGUCUCUAGCAUGUUUAUUAAUUUUGAAAUGGCAACACCGGGCGAAACUAUCGAGGUUAUUUCUACAGACUGAUAUCAUAUAUAUGCUACGCUCAUACAAGUAUAGUAUGUAUUAUGUAGUAGUUACUUAUAAUUAUCUACGUCAGUGUUGCCAGGCGUACGAUAAUUAUCGUACAUGUACGAUAAUUUGGGCUCCGGUACGAUGUACGUUCCAAAAAGCAUUGUCGUACGUAUUUGAAGCAAAAUAUGACACUUUCCCUCAGAAAUAGGCCACAAUUUCUUUUCAGGGACCUUUUGGGUGUUCGGCUUCUUGGUGUCAGUCAAAAAUGUCGAAAAGUCCUGUAAGCCGUUCGGAUCUGUCACAAACAUAUAAAAAUAUUAAACUGAUGUUUUAGCAUUUUAGACGAAUAUUUACAUCGGACCAUAGCUUAUUUUGCAAGAAAUUUUAGGGGUAGUGCUGUUUUGACAGGCAUACGAUUUUUUUCAUCGGAUCGAUAAUUUUAGAACUCAAAUACGAUAAUUCUCUUCCACUAACCUGGCAACACUGAUCUACGUAUUAUUUCAGUGUCUGCGGAAUGUCGACUAAACCACUCGCCAACGGAGUGCAUUUGUUUAUUUAGUGUAAUUGUGUAAUAUUGCGAUAUGGAAGGGGACGCGAAUAAUGCAGCACCUGAUGCCGUCGUUGGAGAAGUCAUUCAUAAUGGUAUCAGAAUAGGUGCAGGUGUCGCUAGGCCGGUUCAGCGAGUGGUCGGUGCAGCGACCGGCACGGCUGUGGGAGCGGCCGUGGGUGGGCUGUCCGGCGGCCCGGCGGGCGCCGUCGUCGGCGGCGUUGUCGGAUACUUCGUCAGCCGUCAAGCCGUCAGGGAUGACCAUCAGGAUUAACGAGCAGACGAGACUACGACACAUACGUACGGAAUGUCAAACAGAAUUAUAUAAAUAUAUACAUGCAUAGAGAUAAAGAACGAUAAGCGUGACCAUCUGUUGCUUUGAACUACUUAAUAAAUAAAGUGAUUAUAUUGAAACAGUGUAAUUUGAAUAAAUGUAUACUUCAAUCGA